ensembl:lncRNA
CGCCGCCGACCUCUGACCCCUCAUCCAACAUAGCAGCCAUCUCCGACAAUUAUCGGCAAUUGGUCAGUUAUUUUCUUAGGCCACUGAAAUUACUGUGUCGUCAAUGUAAGCAGGCGAUAAAAUGUAAACGCUUCCAUUUGUCGAUCAGAGGGCAGCGAGGUGUGCGCCCUCACACAUGUGGGUAAACAGCCUCAAACGUGCUCCCACUUUCACAUUCCUAAACGUCCUUAUUUAUUGACAGCAUUGUUAGCACAGAAUUUAGUUUAAUAACUAAUCAUAUAAAACUGAUUUUCAUUAAAUGUAAUAAAUAUUCAUGAAACUGAAUUACAGGAUUUUUCUCUGAUGGUGAAUUCCCUCCAAUUGAUGACGGACAGGUUUUGAAUAUGUGCACUUUCCCUACAUUGAAGUUCUGCAGUUGACUGCAGCCCAAUUAAAUCCGCACACUUUCCAUCAUCAGUUCCAGAUUCAUGACCCUUUCCAAACAAUACAGAUCCCCCAAUACAGGAAUCAUUAAGUGCUGCCAAGAAAUUCAGAUUCCUGUAGAUAAGGGAAAGAGUGAGAUGGACAGAAUGGAAUAAACUAUAAUAGAGAGGUUAAAGGUAGCUAAUGGUUGACUUGCUUUCGACAGACAGUGAUUAUAGUAGUGGUGAAACAGCUACACUUGCAGGAAGCCGUUGAUUCUUACCCAGGGCCGUAUUGCGGGGGGCCACAAAGACAAAGGCCAGGCUCUGCCAGGGUUUAGAGUUUGAAUCUGGUUGAGUCUCAGUGGCUAGAAGUAUCAGGAAUCACACUGUUUAUAAUAACUGAUAACUAAAUGAAUGAACGUACACCGAACUGAUGUCAUCUCACUGUAGUUAGGUUUACUAACCAUUUAAUGAGUAAUCUGCCAUUCAGUUAUUCAUGCUGAAUUAUGGAAUUACAUAUUUUCUUGUCUGAUGGUGUUUUUUCCAUGACACUAUUGAUGUUAGGCAUAAAGAUUCUGCAGGAUUCUGCAGACCGACUCAAUUGCAGCCAUUGCUUAUUUACUUAUUGGCUUGUGUGUGUUAGAGAGCGUACCCAAUUAGUCUGCGUCUGUGUUUAUGUUGGGACAAAACUCUUUGUGGCGCCAUUUUUGCUAUUUACGCAACAACCUGCAUUCCGUCAUGUUAGUGUUUUUGCUGACUGGGCACGGCAACUGACGCAGUGGAAAAAAUGGUCUACGUGCCUCUGUUCCACUUCUAUUCCGUCAGUGUCUUCUUUAGGUACCAAAACAUGUCCGCUGGACUUUCGGAGGCCCAGCCAGUGGCCUUUUGAGUGGUUUUCCCACCAAAAGGCCAAAGGGAGACCAAACCAGUUGGGAGUGAUGUUGCCAUCACAAUUCUUACCUUUUAUUUACUGUCAGCCUCAGUAAAUGUGGUAAGCAGCAGCUCAGCAACAAUGCUUUGAUCAUUUUGAGGAUUAUCUGUCGUUCCAAAUCUCAUAUACAUUUGUACGCUCUAAAGCUUUACAUUUACCCGACCACAACACCAUGUUCAUUUGAGCAAAACAAAAUAAUGAUAAAUAAGUUAUCAUCAGAAAGAGUAUAAAAAAAACUGUGAAAAAACAAGCCAUUCAAGCAAUUUGGCAUUAUGGUCAAGCAACAAAACACCACCAGGCAGUUACCCUCUAUUGCCAGUCCAGUGGAUGCGUAUGUACGCAUUCUCCACGGUGUGUGAGCCAGGCGCCAAUCACAUGCCGUUGGAGUGCCAUCAAAACCGCCGAGCCCAUGCCACCACGACCUCUCUCUGCAGCGGUCGCUACUUGGCAGAAAAGAAAUAAAGAAAAGAAGGAAAUAUCUUGCCUUCUCAGGGAAGUGACAGGUCCCAGAAGUUUGGUAAAGAAACCAGAGAUCAUUUAAAAAAAGGUAUUCCCAAAAAAGGACAAAAGCUCAGACUUCUUAUUGCUAUUGUCAGUAAAUCAGAUCUCUGACAAGAGGUUUGAUGGCAUUUUCUUUUUUGGGGUUCAGCACACUGCUGUAUGAGAACAAAUGAGACACAAUGAAAGGAAACAAAGUGGGUCUAAAUAAAGUCUGAAGGCUGAGGAAAUCACAACGGAGGAAUAACACGGGGCAGUCAGCUGUCUGCGGCCCUCACAAAUCAGACCACAUCAAAUUGUCCUGGUCUUACAGUAGGAGAUGUUUGACGUGAGUGCCCCGCUCCCAAACACACACUGACGGAUACUCUCAAACUCACACACAUGCGCAUAGACACACAGAUGCCUAGAUUGCAAGCAUGUCUCGCCUCAAUAGCAGCAGAGUCAAACAAAUUGCUAUGGUCUGUGCAAACAAGAACAAUGUGUUGUAGGGUUUAUUCUCUCUCUCUCUCUCUCUCUCUCUCUCUCACACACAGUCAUUCCCUCUUCUCCUUCAGUUACUUUUAUUUAUUCAGAAUAAAGUAAGCCAGCCAACAUCGGUCAAAAGGUAUGUAUCAAAGCUAAACAUGGAAUAUUAUGUACCAUUUCUUUCUUUUUUAAGGGAUUGGGGGUGGUUUUCAAGAUCAUGUAUAAAUCUUGCAACCAAUUACGGAGCAAGCGUUUCAUCAAGCUUUAUUUAGAUGUGUCACAUCUAAAAACUGCAAAACUGCAGAGAAGUGCCGGUUUACACUGAUUACCAAAAAUAAACAGUGGGGAAGCGAGAGUCGGACUAAUUCAUCACUGCAUCAUAUUGACGGGCGUUUUUGAUGAGGUUUGUGGAAUUAAGUGAGAAUGUUGACGACUUUCCUCUGCAUCACUCAGCAUUUUCACUGUAGAUCCAUAAUUGUGGUAUAAAGCCUUUGUGUCAUGCAAUAUGAGAACGCACAAUUUAUGGGUUUAUUGAUUACCAGGUAAGCUCCUAAAAGUUAAACAUUCUCAGAGAGAAUCUGGUUGACAAUAUGUGAAUACAUGUGUAUAUAUAUAUAGAGAGAUCUAUAUAGAUCUAUAAAUGUAUAUAUACUGACAUAGAUAUCUAUAUAUAUAUAUAUAUAUAUAUAUAUAUAUAUAUAUAUAUGGAGCACAGCAACGCCACCUUAAGCAUUUCAGCUAUACAAAGUGAGUAUCAAACAAGUAACUCAGGCAGACGGGGAGCGGGACAUAAGGUGGUGGCUAAUGCAAACUCCACUGCAUUUUUAUGAUGCCCACCCAUUGUGAUUGGCUAGUGAUGCCCUUGUGAUUAAGGGAUGACACCAGGGCUCCAUUAUGCUACAUGUGCAACAAACUAAUCACAAAUUGGGACUUCAAUGGAAAACAAAGAACAUUGAUUUUGAAACCGUUACUUCUUCGUCUGUUGCAUUUCUAGUCUGGAUUUUGCAUUCAUUGUUAUUUUCUUUCACUUCUCUUUUUUCCAACAUUACCAACUUCUAUGAGGAAAAAACAACCGUACCACGGAAUGAAUCACCUACAAACAUCAAGCUAUUUCAUGAUUUACUCAAGACGUCUACAGCUGACCAUUAUGUUAACCUCAACACCUACAAACAUCUGUUUAAGUGUCCUGCAGAAUCACACUACUAGCAAGUAGCCCAGUGUAAAAAUGUAAUGUAAAUGUACAAUACAUCGCCUGCAGCCAAAUGCAAAAUAAAGACCGAAAGAAUAAAUUCCAUUUCAAACAACAUCGUUUAUUUUUCAAACAUAAAACAUACAGUACAUAUUAUCUUUAAGGAAGGGGCUGGAUGACAGAUUUUUCUUUACCACGGGUGGGCGGAUUAAUUAAUUAGCAUCAUUAGACUCCUGACAGUGAAAUGAGCCUCAUUAAAGAUAAUUAGAUGAAACACACACCAGCUAGUGCAUGUAAGAGAGGGGAGAGUAGCUGCAGUGUGUGUAUGUGUGUUUGUGGAUGGAAGAAGGUGGUGUGGGAUAAAAGGCAGACAGACGAUUAAAAGAUUGCAUGAAUGAAGAAUAUCAUCGAGCUUUGAAAUACAAUAGCUUCACUGGCAUUUGAUCAUGCAUUGCGGUGAUCCAAAUAACACAAGCAACAGGACUGAUUUAAUAAGCCAGUGGCGUCAUGGCUGCUGGCCUGGUAAUACGACUCCUCAUGGGAGUUUUGCCCCCUCUUGUGGAGCCGAGUUAAACUGUUACAGUCAACAAAGUUGGAGUUUGUCCAAUAGGGAUACAGUGCAAGAAAACCAGCCUGGAGCAGGGAUUGCGUCUCGUAUUAUAAAUUGUAUAUUCAAAGAGGAAAAGAUUCAGUUGUUCUUGCAUGUCGACUUACAGUUUCAGUGCAUUACAUCAGUGUUUCAGUACUGCUACCCACACACUACAGAGGAAGGCACUAACGUCUCUCUGUGGUGAGGGAAUAAUUGCAGUUCUUCAGUGAUUGCUACCACUACUUACUCACCAAAGAUCACCUCUCCUGUAUUUGUCUUUCCAUUCUGGAGGACAAAAAUAAACAUCUUCAAUCUGGGUUCAAACUGAGAGAGCGUGAUGCAUAUGUUUGCUUCGGUUCUGCAUUCACCUGUGUUCUUUCCUCUAACUGUUCUCCCAGUGGCAGCACAGCACACAAUCCCUUUAACCAAGAGGCCACACCAGAGCUUCAAGUUUUAGCAGCUGGGCAAAGACAUUAAGGGCCAGGAGGACAGGAGGAAUAGCAGUGAAAUGAAUGAGGGAGAGACAAGAGAGCCUGAGGGCCUGAAGUCACUGAGUGAGGGAGAGAAGAAAAGGGACAACUAAUACGCUGUAGUGGAGCCGAAAGAAAAUAAAAGAAACAAGAAAACUUGCUUCUUAGUGAUACAAGAAGCUUCUAGCUUCAAAGGCGCUAACAUCUGCUCCUAGUACAAGCCCUACACCAUGCCUUAGUGGAAUAAUAUCAGUCACCGACAUGAAUGUAAAGACAUUUAUUAUUUACUGACUCAUUUAUUUUUAAACUUUUCGAUUCCAUAAAGAUUAUUGAUACUACUACUGAUUUGAUUUACUAUUAACAAUAGUUCAUCAUUAGAUUAAUUACCUGUCAUGGUGUAAGUAGCUUUUCAUAAUUGUUUCUCAUAUGAGAUGUAUGUAUUUGGUUGUGUGUCUUUGUAUCUGUCUGUCCACAGCUAAUCUCUCACACUACUCGAUCCAUCAGCCCAGUAUUUUUUUGUACUCAUUUGUGACUGUAUGAUCAGGGACCUCUAGACUCUAAACAUAUUUAUUCACUCUUUUCACCAUAAUAGACAGCUCAUUAUCGACUAGGCGUGGGCGGUUUGGACUGUUGUUUCACCCACUGUUUAGUAAUUGUUUCCCUCUUGAUUUGCUUGCCAAGCGAGACCAGUGUAGAGCUUGUAUGUCUCUAUCUCUGGAUUCAUAACUAUUGUCUAUCAAACGAGUGAACGGCCCACGUCAGUAGGAGGAGAGUAAGUCAAUGCACUUAGUAUUGGCGCCCUGUAUGUAUCGACAGCUGGUCACUGUUACACACGUGCUAACUGAGGCAACAACUGAGAAAAUCUUCACCAAUUAGGCAUUUUAGUCUUCUAAGGUCUAAAGUCUUAUGAGGAAGAAAAUGCAAUCAACAAGGUCCGUUAGACCUUAUGAUACACAUGUUGCAUUUUGGGUCACAAACUAAACAGAAACAUUUGUUUUUGUUAAGAAGACAAUUCCACAGUGCACCUUUAAUUUCAGAUGAAUGCAGCCUGACGAGUGCUGCCAGCAAACUAUGUUAAGCCAUUAAAUAUACUUUAAGUAGCAGAAAAGAACUCUGGAGCAGAAAUUUGCAGCCAUCUGCUACAUGGAUGAAUGGUGGAAUGCUAAAUUUGCUAAGAACAGAGCACACCAUAACCCAAGUUCUGUGUGUAGUGUAACGUGAUCAACUUAACAUCUGUUCAUUUGUUUUGCAUAGACCCUUGUUCCAAGAACCCAGGUUUCUGUAUUUUAUUUUAAACUCAAAGUUAGAGAACUGUUUCAAACCCUAAUCCUGAAUUAGAGCCUUCCGUGCCUUAUUUCGUUAUGAAUAUGGUCAACAGCAAUGCUCACAAUCAUCCCUCAUCAUCACCCAUUUCUACAAGUCGUUUAGCCGGGGGGAAAACAGUGGAACACACUCAGAGGGGCGUUGUAAUUUUGCAGAGGUCCUUAAUUGCAUCUGAUAAUUGGUGGCUGUUUUAAGAAAAUCGGCCGAGCUAUCAGUCACCUAAAUGGAGCGAUGGAGGGGCCUGGUCUCACGCUCUAACAGAGCAAGGGGGAGCAGGGCUGUGUGUUUUUAGGGUUCACCGGAGUGCUUUUGGGGUCUCGCAGCUUUCACCCAGCCAGCUUCCCUGGUGGUCAGCCAAGAGCAAUGGCAUGGCCUCUCAGGGAAGCAGAUGACUCAGAUCGCGAGUGUGUUUCUGUCUACCGACUCCAUUUAUUUUGCUCUAAACACACUUCAACCUCAAGUCAGUUGGAGCUGCACUUGAGUAGGCACUUCAUUUCCGAGUGCUUUUGUGGAACUGAAAGGUAAUGAGCAGCGCUACUACUGCUACUCCCAACAAACAGGGGCUGACUGAUCGUGAACUGAGCGUUUAAAGGCUGACAUCAAGUGAUGAAUAAAGUGUGCUAACUAUGGCUUCACAUACCAGCUAUAUAGCUAAGGCACAACAAACAUAUCAAGCUAACUUUUAUUCUUUCUUAUAUGUAACUGGAAUAAUUAAAGGAUGCACUACCUAGAUAUGAGAUUUAUCUUUUGUAUUCAGAAAAUAAGGUUGUGUAGAUAAUUUGGACAUUUAAAAGCCAAUUAAAUUCAUGUCAGUGUACCGUCUUGUCAGAACAUUACAAGGGGCUUCCGUAACUGUAUGACUACUUUCAUGAAGACUCCCUGUAGAAGCCAUUCCACUACAUUUGUAUCGUGCAUAAUAAAACUGCCUUUUCUGUUGAUUUAUUUGUGAUGAUGUAAUGAUGACGUCAGGGGGCGUCGGCUAUUUAAAUGUCACCUGAGUAAGGCCAGGGGUGUUUUCUAUUUCGAGAGCGGAAGGAGAUACUAUUUUUGACCGCAUUACGCAUUGAAUUCUCCUUUUAUUUUGAGUGUGAUUUAGGUUGUUUUUUGCCGACCAAUGAAUAAAGAAUAUUGAAGUGACAA